AGCGAACGCUGGCGGCGUGCUUAACACAUGCAAGUCGAGUGCGCAGUUUCCUGUAGCAAUACAGGAAAUGGGCGCACGGCGCACGGGUGCGUAACACGUGGACAAUCUACCCUUUGAUGGGGAAUAACCCGCCGAAAGGCGGGCUAAUACCGCAUAACAUCCCAGUCGCUUCGGCGAUAGGGAUCAAAGCCCGCAAGGGCGUCAUUGGAGGAGUCCGCGGCCGAUUAGCUAGUUGGUGAGGUAAUGGCUCACCAAGGCUUGGAUCGGUAGCCGGUCUGAGAGGACGAUCGGCCACACUGGAACUGAGACACGGUCCAGACUCCUACGGGAGGCAGCAGUGGGGAAUCUUGCGCAAUGGGCGAAAGCCUGACGCAGCGACGCCGCGUGGGGGAUGAAGCUUCUCGGAGUGUAAACCCCUUUCGACCCCGGACGAAUGACCCGCAAGGGUUUGACGGUACGGGGAGAAGAAGCCCCGGCUAACUACGUGCCAGCAGCCGCGGUAAGACGUAC
rnacentral:rRNA from 1 species